rnacentral:lncRNA from 1 species
CGACUAGAUUGGUGCAAGUUAUUCAUAUAUAUUAGAUAUAUGUUUGUGUAUUUUUAAGUCCUACUUUAUGCAUCAUUUAAAAUCGCCAAUCUCUUCCAAGGGAAUGAACAUUUUGAUCAGUUGUGUUUAAAGAACAUAAUUUAUUUGCACUAGCAUUAUUAUUCCAACAGCUUUGAUCAAAGACACAAUUGUCAACUGUAAUAACCGCCCUAAUAACUUUAAAUUAGACAUAACAAUGACGUCAUAAUGUAUGAAAAACAUCUUCCGGUGUGCUAGGGAAACUAAGAAAAUAUAAAAAGGAGAUGUUGUAUGAUUGCCGAUGAGACAAUUCUCCACAAGAGACCAAAUGACACAUUAAUUUACACUAUAGGUCACCGUAAGGCCUCCAACAAUAAGCAAACACGUGUUUCUAUCAUGCAAAAUACACAAAUAAACAAAACCAAAUGAUAAAGAAUUAUCCGGUUGUAUGCAUAUUGAUAUUGUAGAAUAUCGAUUUGAAUCCUUAUGAACUCGCUCGCUGCACUCACUAGACGAAAAACCUUCAUAGUGUGACUCUAAGCUGAUAUUUAACGAUAUCAGUAUGCAGAGAACAAUAGAAAACAUUU